rnacentral:lncRNA from 1 species
UCUUUUCGACAAGACUAGUCAUGCUGACCCACCACACACCUCCUAGACCCCUUGAGGGCUGUCAAGUACCAAAUCAACAUUUAUUCCUUCCACGGGAGGCAUUAGAAUCGGAGGUUCCUGCAACUUAUUCUUUUUUCAUUUUUCCAUGCCCCUUGGCAGUCAUCAUUCCACCUGACCAUUGAUUUCUUUCUCUCUUUUUUUUCGGUUCAGGCGUCUCUAGUAUUGUUUUUUUUU